rnacentral:rRNA from 1 species
GUCGGUCGUCCGGUGGUAGGUUGGUUGGUUAACGUCCCGACAACGAGCGCCAACCCCGUCGUUAGUUGCCAGCGGUUCGGCCGGGCACUCGUAACGGGACUGCCCGCGAAAAGCGGGAGGAAGGAAGGGACGACGUCUGGUCAGCAUGGCCCUUACGGCCUGGGCGACACACGUGCUACAAUGCCCACUACAAAGCGAUGCCACCCGGCAACGGGGAGCUAAUCGCAAAAAGGUGGGCCCAGUUCGGAUUGGGGUCUGCAACCCGACCCCAUGAAGCCGGAAUCGCUAGUAAUCGCGGAUCAGCCAUGCCGCGGUGAAUACGUUCCCGGGCCUU